CCUACGGGAGGCAGCAGUGGGGAAUUUUGGACAAUGGGCGCAAGCCUGAUCCAGCAAUGCCGCGUGAGUGAAGAAGGCCUUCGGGUUGUAAAGCUCUUUUGUCAGGGAAGAAACGGUUGAGGUUAAUACCUUUGGCUAAUGACGGUACCUGAAGAAUAAGCACCGGCUAACUACGUGCCAGCAGCCGCGGUAAUACGUAGGGUGCAAGCGUUAAUCGGAAUUACUGGGCGUAAAGCGUGCGCAGGCGGUUUUGUAAGUCUGACGUGAAAUCCCCGGGCUCAACCUGGGAAUUGCGUUGGAGACUGCAAGGCUGGAGUCUGGCAGAGGGGGGUAGAAUUCCACGUGUAGCAGUGAAAUGCGUAGAGAUGUGGAGGAACACCGAUGGCGAAGGCAGCCCCCUGGGUCAAGACUGACGCUCAUGCACGAAAGCGUGGGGAGCAAACAGGAUUAGAUACCCUGGUAGUCCACGCCCUAAACGAUGUCUACUAGUUGUCGGGUCUUAAUUGACUUGGUAACGCAGCUACGCGUGAGUAGACCGCCGUCGGGAGGUACGGUCGCGAGAAGUUAAACGUUAAACGGUAAGUUAGUACGGCGUGAGACGUGCCGACGACGACGACGAGGGAGGUUAGG
rnacentral:rRNA from 1 species